rnacentral:lncRNA from 1 species
CCUGUUAACUUCAUCAUCUUCAAGCGUUGUUCAUAUAAAACCCAUGAAAUUUCUUCAUCACAAUUAGCAACAACAUCAACCUUUUCAUAACAGAUCCUUUUAAAUCUUCUAGAUCUCGCCUUCGUCUUCCCAAGGCAUCCAAAUUAGGCAACAGGUCCUUUCCAUAGUAGAGGCUAUGAUGGCACAUGACUUGCUGGAAAAUUGUUAUUCUGGUGUUAAAGUAGCACAUGCCAUCAAGAGGAUGAAAUAGAGAGGAAGCCAAAAAAACUAUUUUUUUGUAAAAUUAAAUGACCCAUUUUUCAAUAGAUGAAGAACCCAUUUUUAAUUUACAAAGAUGGUGGUCCUUUUACGGAUAUGCCUAACACAGUCAAAUUCAAAAAGCUCAAAGAGAACUCAGAUUUGCUAGAAGAAGGAUAUUGUUGGAGUGCUGAUAUAAACAAAUAAUCUACUAGUUGUCGGAAGAAGAUGUGUUUCAGUGUUGAUUUUGAAAAGAAAAAAAAAAACGAUUUUGUUGAUGGAGAUUGAUGGACGUCGAAUUGUUGUAACAUAGGUGGCUUGAAUGGGUCACUGGGUAGUGAAGAUCUCAAAAACCCAUAACCUCCAUGUUUCUCUGUCAGAUGAAAAUCAAUAAAAAUUAAUUGAUAAUCAUAAAAAGGGUUUGUGUGAGGUUAAGAUGAAACUAAUUGUAGAACCAUCAAUUAUGAAUUGGUUUAUGAAAAUUUUGAAUAAUAAAGAUGAAUAUGAAUCAUUCAAUUUUGGGGAAAAUGUCAAAUUAAGGAUUCAAGAAUCAAGAAUCAUUAA